rnacentral:rRNA from 1 species
GCAGCAGUGAGGAAUAUUGGUCAAUGGCCGAGAGGCUGAACCAGCCAAGUCGCGUGAAGGAAGAAGGAUCUAUGGUUUGUAAACUUCUUUUAUAGGGGAAUAAAGUGGAGGACGUGUCCUUUUUUGUAUGUACCCUAUGAAUAAGCAUCGGCUAACUCCGUGCCAGCAGCCGCGGUAAUACGGAGGAUGCGAGCGUUAUCCGGAUUUAUUGGGUUUAAAGGGUGCGUAGGUGGUGAUUUAAGUCAGCGGUGAAAGUUUGUGGCUCAACCAUAAAAUUGCCGUUGAAACUGGGUUACUUGAGUGUGUUUGAGGUAGGCGGAAUGCGUGGUGUAGCGGUGAAAUGCAUAGAUAUCACGCAGAACUCCGAUUGCGAAGGCAGCUUACUAAACCAUAACUGACACUGAAGCACGAAAGCGUGGGGAUCAAACAGGAUUAGAUACCCUGGUAGUCCACGCAGUAAACGAUGAUUACUAGGAGUUUGCGAUACAAUGUAAGCUGCUACAGCGAAAGCGUUAAGUAAUCCACCUGGGGAGUACGCCGGCAACGGUGAAACUCAAAGGAAUUGACGGGGGCCCGCACAAGCGGAGGAACAUGUGGUUUAAUUCGAUGAUACGCGAGGAACCUUACCCGGGUUUGAACGUAGUCUGACCGGAGUGGAAACACUCCUUCUAGCAAUAGCAGAUUACGAGGUGCUGCAUGGUUGUCGUCAGCUCGUGCCGUGAGGUGUCGGCUUAAGUGCCAUAACGAGCGCAACCCUUAUCACUAGUUACUAACAGGUGAAGCUGAGGACUCUGGUGAGACUGCCAGCGUAAGCUGUGAGGAAGGUGGGGAUGACGUCAAAUCAGCACGGCCCUUACAUCCGGGGCGACACACGUGUUACAAUGGCAUGGACAAAGGGCAGCUACCUGGCGACAGGAUGCUAAUCUCCAAACCAUGUCUCAGUUCGGAUCGGAGUCUGCAACUCGACUCCGUGAAGCUGGAUUCGCUAGUAAUCGCGCAUCAGCCAUGGCGCGGUGAAUACGUUCCCGGGCCUUGUACACACCGCCCGUCAAGCCAUGGGAGUCGGGGGUGCCUGAAGUACGUUACCGCGAGGAGCGUCCUAGGGCAAAACUGGUAAUUGGGGCUAAGUCGUAACAAGGUAGCCGUACCGGAAGGUGCGGCUG